rnacentral:rRNA from 1 species
CCAAUAGCGUAUAUUAAAGUUGUUGCAGUUAAAAAGCUCGUAGUUGAACUUCAGGCCUGGCUGGGCGGUCCGCCUUCCGGGCGAGUACUGCCUGUGGUCGGGUCCUACCUUCUGGCGAAGCGUCAUGGCCUUAACCGGCCGUGGCGGGGAACCAGGACUUUUACUGUGAAAAAAUUAGAGUGUUCAAAGCAGGCACGCGCUUGAAUACAUUAGCAUGGAAUAAUGGAAUAGGACAGUGGUUCUAUUUGUUGGUUUCUAGGACCGUUGUAAUGAUUAAUAGGGAUAGUUGGGGGCAUUAGUAUUCAAUUGUCAGAGGUGAAAGUCUUGGAUUUAUUGAAGACUAACUACUGCGAAAGCAUUUGCCAAGGAUGUUUUCAUUAAUCAAGAACGAAAGUUAGGGGAUCGAAGACGAUCAGAUACCGUCGUAGUCUUAACCAUAAACUAUGCCGACUAGGAAUCGGGCGAUGUUGACAAAAUGACGCGCUCGGCACCUCAUG